GACAGAGGGUGCAAACGUUGUUCGGAAUUACUGGGCGUAAAGCGAGUGUAGGCGGUCUGAAAAGUCGGAUGUGAAAGCCCCGGGCUCAACCCGGGAAGUGCAUUCGAAACUGCCAGGCUAGAGUGUCGGAGAGGUUGGUGGAAUUCUCGGUGUAGAGGUGAAAUUCGUAGAUAUCUGGAGGAACACCGGUGGCGAAGGCGGCAUCCUGGACCGGUAUUGACGCUGAGGCGCGAAAGCCAGGGGAGCAAACGGG
rnacentral:rRNA from 1 species